rnacentral:rRNA from 1 species
ACUACGGGUGGCUGCAGUGAGGAAUAUUGGUCAAUGGGCGCGAGCCUGAACCAGCCAAGUAGCGUGAAGGAUGACUGCCCUACGGGUUGUAAACCUCUUUUAUAAAGGAGUAAAGUGAGGCACGUGUGCCUUUUUGUAUGUACUUUAUGAAUAAGCAUCGGCUAACUCCGUGCCAGCAGCCGCGGUAAUACGGAGGAUCCGAGCGUUAUCCGGAUUUAUUGGGUUUAAAGGGAGCGUAGAUGGGUUGUUAAGUCAGGGGUGAAAGUUUGGGGCUCAACCGUAAAAUUGCAAUUGAUACUGGCAGUCUUGAGUACAGUUGAGGUAGGCGGAAUGCGUGGUGUAGCGGUGAAAUGCAUAGAUAUCACGAAGAACUCCGAUUGCGAAGGCAGCUUACUAACCUGCCACUGACAUUGAUGCUCGAAAGUGUGGGUAUCGAACAGGAUUAGAUACCCCAGUAGUC